CGCUGGCGGUUGCUUACACAUGCAAGUCGAACGGAAACGAAACUAGCUUGCUAGUAGGCGUCGAGUGGCGGACGGGUGAGUAACGCGUAGGAAUCUGCCUGAUAGUGGGGGAUAGCCCGAAGAAAUUCGGAUUAAUACCGCAUAAUCUAUUCGUAGUAAAGUGAGGGACUUUCGAGCCUCACGCUAUCAGAUGAGCCUGCGUAAGAUUAGCUUGUUGGUAGGGUAAAAGCCUACCAAGGCAACGAUCUUUAGCUGGUCUGAGAGGAUGAUCAGCCACAUCGGGACUGAGACACGGCCCGAACUCCUACGGGAGGCAGCAGUGGGGAAUAUUGGACAAUGGGGGCAACCCUGAUCCAGCAAUACCGCGUGUGUGAAGAAGGCCUGAGGGUUGUAAAGCACUUUCAAUUGUGAAGAAAAGUCAACGGUUAAUAACCGUUGACCUUGACGUUAACUUUAGAAGAAGCACCGGCUAACUCCGUGCCAGCAGCCGCGGUAAUACGGAGGGUGCAAGCGUUAAUCGGAAUUACUGGGCGUAAAGCGUGCGUAGGCGGUUUAUUAAGUCAGAUGUGAAAGCCCCGGGCUUAACCUGGGAACUGCAUUUGAAACUGGUCAACUAGAGUAUGGUAGAGGAAAGUGGAAUUUCUGGUGUAGCGGUGAAAUGCGUAGAUAUCAGAAGGAACAUCAAUGGCGAAGGCAGCUUUCUGGACCAAUACUGACGCUGAGGUACGAAAGCGUGGGUAGCAAACAGGAUUAGAUACCCUGGUAGUCCACGCCGUAAACGAUGAUAACUAGCCGUUGGGGGGAUUUACCCCUUAGUGGCGAAGCUAACGCGUUAAGUUAUCCGCCUGGGGAGUACGGCCGCAGGCUAAACCUCAAAAUGAAU
rnacentral:rRNA from 1 species